GGGACAGCCUCGCGUUGCUGUCCGACCCCCGACCUGGCAGCAACGCGGGGCUCCUUC
rnacentral:sRNA from 1 species